CGGACGGGUGAGUAACGCGUGGGUAACCUGCCUCAUACAGGGGGAUAACAGUUAGAAAUGACUGCUAAUGCCGCAUAAGCGCACGGGACUGCAUGGUCCAGUGUGAAAAACCGAGGUGGUAUGAGAUGGACCCGCGUCUGAUUAGCUGGUUGGCGGGGUAACGGCCCACCAAGGCGACGAUCAGUAGCCGACCUGAGAGGGUGGCCGGCCACAUUGGGACUGAGACACGGCCCAAACUCCUACGGAAGGCAGCAG
rnacentral:rRNA from 1 species